UCGAGUUCACUUGUUCGGUUUAUUAAUGUUUGAUCAUUUAGUUUUUUUUUUUUUUUUUAAAAAAAACAUGUCUUCUCAAAAAGAGAAAUUAAAUUAAAUUGAAUAGUUUUUUGAGUUUAAUUCUUGUUUUUAAACUGAGCAUUGUGUGAAGAGACGGUUGAUUGCAAGACUGAAUAUUACGAGUAUAAUAACGAAAACUAAUACAACAUGUGCGGGUCAAAUCAAACGGUUUGCUAAAAGGUUGGUUAAUAUAGGUCACACCAUGCACAACGUUUUUGCAACACGCUUGCCUCCCCUCUACCACCCAAAACUAGUUCACCGCCCCCCUCCCCUACCACCCAAAAAUAGUUCAAUACCCCCCAGUGAUACUACACCGCCCACUGAGGGGUGAUAUCGCCCUCGUUUAUAACCACUGGUCUAAACUAUAUUGUUUUAUAGUUAUAUAGAUUUUAUUUUGAAUUCUUACCGCUAGUAGAUGUAGGUCCUUAUGAGUUAUAUUGUAAAGAAGACCACAUAUUACAUAAUCAAUAUUAGAAAAACUAUUAUAGAUAGGCAUCAGUAAGAUAUGUGUAAAAUACGGAAUUCACGAGACCAACCGGUUACAUAAUAGGUAAUCAAGGAUUGUGAGCACAAAAUACAAGUAAAAACAAACUGAAUACCAAGGCGAGUCGCACAGAACUAGUUGGUUAGCAUUUGCCAGGUCCGGAUCAACUAUGAGAAAUGGGGUAUAUAAGAUAGUUCUGAAGACACCAAUAUUCAGAUGAUUUUUAGUCCGAUCUAGUAACAGAAAGGUAUUACAGUCCGACCUUGCAGCAUCUUCACGCAAGUCUAUUUGUUAAAUUAAAUAAAUACUUAUAAUUAGAAUGUUUCAAUAAAAACAGUUUAACUUAGAUUGAGUAUUUUUAUUGGAGUUAUCCUAACAAACAUCCUUUAUAUGAACUGUUGUAUUGACGGCAUGCAAUAUCUGAAUAACCAAAUAGUCUACUUGAAAUUCGUAUGAUUGAUAUUCAGGGGAUUUCAAAGAAUUUUUUUGAAUUACCCGAUUUCGUCAAAAUUUAAUAUUCUAAUACAUGUAAAAAAAAUUAAAGCUAAAGAUUUUUAAUAUUUUUACACUGAAUUAAGACCAAAUUAUAAGUAGUCCUGUAUACAAGUGUUAGAAAUAAAAAUUUAAAAUGUUAUUAAACCAUAGACAAAUACAAAUAAAAUAAAAGGUCGAACAUUUCAAGAGCUUAA